CUCCGGGUUGUACGGGUCAUAGCCAAGCCCUGGGAGGGAAGGGAACACGGACAGCCCCUGAGCCGGCCUGCCAGAGACGGGCAAGCUGUGUGAAGCUGACAGCCUGAAAUACAAGAUCUGCCAUGAAAGAUGCAGCACAGUGGGGGGCACCUGCAGGGGAGUUCACAUCUGCAGACUGAAGGACAAAAGAGAUGCUCACAGGAAGCCUCUCGCUGCCUAGAAGGGCAGGAACUUGGGGACAAGAACUCAGCACAGGCUGGGAACUGGCCAGAGCCCACUGACUUGUGGAAGGGAUUGGGGGAGACUGGGAAACAGAGGCAGCGGACCAGCCCCACGGGAGGCUGAGGCAGAAGGAUCAGAAGUUCAAGGUCAGCUUAGGCCAGCAAGGCCCGAUCUCAAAAGA